UUGGAGGGCAAGUCUGGUGCCAGCAGCCGCGGUAAUUCCAGCUCCAAUAGCGUAUAUUAAAGUUGUUGCAGUUAAAAAGCUCGUAGUUGAACCUUUGGCCUGGCUGGCAGGUCCGCCUCACCGCGUGCACUUGCCCGGCCGGGCCUUUUCUUCUGGAGAACCGCAUGCCCUUCACUGGGUGUGUUGGGGACCAGGACUUUUACUUUGAAAAAAUUAGAGUGUUCAAAGCAGGCCUUUGCUCGAAUACGUUAGCAUGGGAUAAUAGAAUAGGACGUUCGGUCCUAUUUUGUUGGUUUCUA
rnacentral:rRNA from 1 species